GUAGGGUGCGAGCGUUAAUCGGAAUUACUGGGCGUAAAGCGUGCGCAGGCGGUUCGUUGUGUCGGCGGUGAAAGCCCCGGGCUCAACCUGGGAAUGGCCGUUGAAACUGGCGAACUGGAGUGUGGCAGAGGGGGGUGGAAUUCCGCGUGUAGCAGUGAAAUGCGUAGAGAUGUGGAGGAACACCGAUGGCGAAGGCAGCCUUCUGGGCCAACACUGACGCUCAUGCACGAAAGCGUGGGGAGCAAACAGGAUUAUAUACCCUGGUAGUCCACGCCCUAAACGAUGAUGACUAGUUGUUGGGGGAGUUAAAUCCCUUAAUAACGCAGCUAACGCGUGAAGUCCUCCGCCUGGGGAGUACGGUCGCAAGAUUA
rnacentral:rRNA from 1 species